rnacentral:rRNA from 1 species
AUUUGCCAGGAAAGGUGAAACCGCGAAUGGCUCAUUAAAUCAGUCAUGGUUCCUUAGAACAUACCAUCCUUCUUGGAUAACUGUGGUAAUUCUAGAGCUAAUACAUGCAACAGAGCUCCGACCCUUGUGGAACGAGCGCUUUUAUUAGACCAAAGACCAAUCGGAGCUUCGGCCCCGUCAGUCUGUGGUGACUCUGGAUAACUUUUAGCGGAUCGCACGGUCAUCGUGCCGGCGACUCCUCUUUCAAAUGUCUGCCUUAUCAACUUUCGAUGGUAGGUUAAUUGCCUACCAUGGUUGUAACGGGUGACGGGGAAUCAGGGUUCGAUUCCGGAGAGGGAGCCUGAGAAACGGCUACCACAUCCAAGGAAGGCAGCAGGCACGCAAAUUACCCACUCCCAGUACGGGGAGGUAGUGACGAAAAAUAACAAUGCGGGACUCUUACGAGGCCCCGUAAUUGGAAUGAGUCCACUUUAAAUCCUUUAACGAGGACCUAUUGGAGGGCAAGUCUGGUGCCAGCAGCCGCGGUAAUUCCAGCUCCAAUAGCGUAUACUAAAGUUGUUGCGGUUAAAAAGCUCGUAGUUGGAUGUCAGUCGCGGGCGGGCGGUCCACCGUUUUGGUGGUUUACUGCUCGUCCCGCGACCUACUGGCCGGCCUCCCCCGCUAUGCUCUUCACCGGGUGUGGCGGGUGGCCGGAAAGUUUACUUUGAAAAAAUUAGAGUGCUCUAAGCAGGUGCUUGCCGCCUGAAUAACACAGCAUGGAAUAAUGGAAUAGGACCUCGGUUCUAUUUUGUUGGUUUUCGGAAUUCCGAGGUAAUGAUUAAUAGGGACAGACGGGGGCA